rnacentral:tRNA from 1 species
AAAAUGUAGCUUAAUAAAAGCAUUUGGCUUACACCCAAAAGAUUUCAAUAUUUGACCAUUUUGA